rnacentral:lncRNA from 1 species
AGAAACGAAAGAGCAAGUCCGUGAGAACUCGAGAGAUGACUUGCCAGACCAUACCCAGCUACACCAUGGACAAAACGACACAGAAGUCUGCCACGACCACAAAGGACAACAGCUGUAUGGCCACACAAUGGAGUAUGUACGACGAAUACCGCACCCUUCGGAAGACGGGUAGAACUAUAACGGCGUUGAGUACAGUUAUUCUGAAAGGUGUCUUGGGCAAUCGGGAAACAGGUAAG